rnacentral:tRNA from 1 species
GGGCGGGUAGCUCAGUGGUAGAGCAUCUGACUUUUAAUCAGAUGGUCGAGGGUUCGAUCCCCUCCCCGCUCACCA